AUGGAAGAAUCAAAAUCUCCAGUACUAUCUUGUAAAAAGAAAGGCAAAAGUACAAAGAUUUUAUUGGCGUCACCGAUACUCUCUUGUGGAAGAAAGAGAAAAAAACCAUUGCCUGAUGAUAGCCCAGUGUUUUUGCGAUCUAUACGAAAGACAAGAAGCUCUAAAGGAGGAGAAUCUCCUGUAAUUGACAGUUUUUGCAGUCCACCGACUAGCGAAGGCAGUCCAAUGCGUCCUCAUAAAUUAAAGCCCAAGUCGUUAUUCAUUGAUAUUGAUGAAACACCACCUUCAGUGAAUUCCCAGCUCUCUCAGACUUCAGCCGAACACAGUCGAGAGAGCAACCAUCACAUUAUUGAAGAAGAGAGCCAUUCGGAAAGCUCUGGAUCUGAAAGUGAGGUCAUUGUGCAUGAGAGGACCAUGUCUGACAAUGAAGAUAAACUUGAUACAACUGUCACCGAUGCUAGUAGUAGGUCACAGAAUUCAACUGCCAUCAGUCAAACAUCUUCGUACUACUCAGGAAUAUCAACACCAGAGAAGAAAACAGUCAGGUCUAAGCCUAUCCCAACAGGAUCAGCCAGAAAGAAGAGACAGUAUAAGCCAAGUGGACUAGCUAAGCAGCUGAGUAAGUUACUAGUUCGUCAAGAAUCAGACUACCAUUUAUGGAAAUUUCAGCAAAAGUUAAGCUCAUCUUCAACAACAGAGACGACGUUGCGAGAUGAUUCUUUUAGCGCAAGGCUAAAGUUAAGAAUCGAGAGCCUUUGGGUUGGAAAAAUCCAUCGUUUUGCUCAUUGCUGCAACCUUCUACAAGAACAAUCCAGAGUUGAAGGAAGUUUAUCUUACAACAGGGUCAGCCUGUUGUUCACCCCGGAGCGUUGGGAGAGAUUCAACAGCGUCCAAGCUGGUGACAUUGUGUCCAUCUACGAACCUUGGCAGAGCGUGGAGUUGAUGGGAGGAGUGACCCUCCUUUUGGAUUUCAACCUGCUGCUGCUGUGCAAAAAGGUCACCAAAGAGGAGGAGGUAUCCAAAUUAAGCAACAUUGUUGUUGGUGAUGGUCUCCUCGGCAGCAGCAGUACAAGCGUACACGACUUCACGGACGCUGCUGAUGGACGUGCUUGUUCUUCUGCGAGUGCUGAUAAUAUCGCCGUUGCUGAAAAUAGACGCCCUUCGUCGGUGACCGUUCUGCAAACAUGGACCUGUCCAUGCCAAGGUUGCACUUUAUGCCAUACUACGAUUUAAUUUCAAACGGAAACAUUUGCUCAAGUCAAAUAAAAGGGAAGAAAAUGUGCAUUCUGCGUGGGGAAAUUUUCAAGAUUGUGUACACAUCAAUUUGUAAAUAUUCCUAUAUAAAUUCCUUUUUUUUUUUUUCCUCUCUACUAUUUGCUUAACUCAAGAUUGUCCGAGCUCUUAUCUUGAUUUUAAAAACCCAAAAAAACUGGAAAAGGAAAAAAAUCCCCAGUAAUCGAAGAAAAAUUCCCCUUUUUUUUUAAGGUGGCCGUGCCAGUCGUGUUUUCCUUCUCUAAUAAAUGCACGCAGGUGGAUGAACUCGACAAAGAGAUUGGCGUGAAUCGGGAUAAAAAAGAAAAAAAAAAAAACAAGAAAGAGAAAGAUGGACACCAAGAGGACAGGCGAGCAAAAACUUUCGGGACCGGUUUCCGUUCCCACAUGCACAAGUGAUGGUUGUGACGAUGGCGUUUCUGGAAUAAUAAUGCAACACACACACACACAGGUACUUAUACUUACCUUUCUCGUUUCGCUGCUAAAAAUAGUUGAACGCCGAGAACAUUUUCGCAGUGCAAAUUCGGAUAAAAAAGAGUGUAUCAAAGGGGGUCGAGACAAGCAGAUGGAAAACAGUCGUCGACUUUUUUUUUUUGUUUUUUUGUUUUUUAAGGACACGAUUAUCAAUCAAUUGUCCAGCAUCGAGUCGUUUGCCGAAGAGUUCAUGGCAGUUUGAGGCUAUAUUUAUUUAUAUAAUGAAAGAAACGUAUCCCCUCGAUCGGACCACCAAACAGGGAUAACUGGUCGCCCGGCCUUGUUACCAGGUGAGGGUACACCUUGGUACGUGGUUCGCACCCCUAGGCCAUGUGUUCUAUCUCUCUCUUCGUUUCUUUUCUUUUUUCCUGUUUGUUUUUGUUUUUGCUGCCACUACUUUAUUACCUUUCGACUUUGUAAUACUCUAGCGUUCGUUUGGCUACUUGUCUCCUCCCCCUUCUUUUUUUUUUUUGUUGUUGUCAACUAUCGUGCGGCCGUGAGGAACUGGAAAGCGCACGUGGCUCCAUUUGCCGUCUUUCAGAUAAAAUUGAAACGAGAAACAAA